UCGCGCCCUUUGCUACCUUUGGGGGAACCCGACGAGACGCGCCGUACCGGGUCACAAGGCAAAGACGACGCACA
rnacentral:ncRNA from 1 species